UCUGAUUCUCUCCCUAAAAACCUAAAAACCCUUAAUCCUAAUUCUCUGAUACUCAGCAGCGCCGUCCCCUAACCCCUUCCCUUUUUUUCAUUCUCUCUCUAAAUCCCGCGCCUAAUCCCUGCCGCUCCUCUCCAGCCAGUUCGCCACCGGCCCACCGCCACUCCUCUCCAGCCGGUCCAACCGUCCAAAUUUUGUUGUUAGGGUUUUGUUUCUUCGGACGGAGCUGCAGUUUUCCACUCAUUUCACUGUACACUAAGUUUGGUGGAGCAGUUCCUUACAGAUUAUUGAAAGGCGGUGUCGCAUUGAGGACUAGGAACAGGAGAUCUAAGGUGGUGAUGGAAGAGGAGGAAGAAGAUGAAAGUGAUGAAAUGAGUUAUACUUCUGAGAAAAUUAAAGAAAAAUGAUGAAAUGAGUUAUACUUUUGCAAUUUCUUAUGCAUAACUAAAAUUUGGAAAAGACUUUUUGUGUAGUUAGGAUUAUUGAUGUUUAUAUUAUUGGUAGGGAAAAAAUGUAAUGGAUCUAUUUUAAAUUUCGUCUAAACUAUUAAAUGAAAUGAAAGUGGUUUAUCAAUUUCAUAGGUUAA